UGACGUAUAGUAAACUACCCCGGGUCGGGUUAAACCCGACCAUUCGAAAACGCCAUAAAUAACGACGAACAAUGUCAAAUUUGACAACUAAACAUAUGAAUAUUUAAAUUCCUUCCAUUUUUUUCCGUCUCAUUUUAUAAAGAAUGUAUAUCCAUUUAUAUGAUUAUCAUUAUCGUCGUUUCUUGUGUGUCGUAACUGUGAUAAUAGUCAAUAACUCCGGAAUAAUUUCUUAACGAUGCAUCGACAUAACCUCAUCGACAAUUGUCAAACUAGCAUAAAGGGAGCAAAAAUUUACGAAAAAAUUCGUACGUCUCGUAAAUAGAGUCGAUUGUUCGAAAAGUCUCAUUCUUCGAUGUUCAUAUGGAUGUGCAAACGGAUAUCAAUUCAUUGCGGCCACAAAUGGCAUUACGAAAUGUGAAUUCCGGCAACAUAUUCACUACAUCUACUUUAACAUCAUUCGCAGAAAUGUGGUAUCAAAUAUUUCUAUGGGCCCUAUUCUCUUCAAUAUUUGUACACACAAUUGCUGGCGCGAUUUGUUUUGCUACUCUGCGACAGCACAAAUACGGCAAAUUUUUUCCGCUGCUUAUCAUAAUAAUGGGUGUAUUGUUACCAUUGACAUCGGGUGUUAUUAGUUCAGCAGCAGUUGCCUUUGUGUACAGAGCAUCUGGUUAUCAAAUGCCUCCUUUAUAUGCAUUAUUUUGGGGUAUCGGACAGACUGUGGUACCAGUGUGUGUCGGAUUUACGAGAAUCUUAGCGACUUUGUAACCCAAUGUUACAAAAACUGCAUUUGUGAUAUUUAUCUGUAUAUACAAGAAUGACGAUCAAGUGUCUUCUAAAUUAUAUAUACACAAAAUUAUGUACAUAUAUAGAUUGAUCCAGAUUGUGGAGAGUAAUGAUGUCUCAUACUUUUGUAAAGUCGAACUGAGCUGCGCUUUCUGGAAAUCGGCGGCCAGCCUCUUGACUUCUUCCCAAUCUACGCUGGACAUCUUUCUUUUUAUAUAAACAUUUAACUUGUCACUUUAAAGCCGAAGAAACGUACAACUGAUACACUCUAGCAAUUGCAGUUAUCAAAUAUAAC